GUCCAGUGAUUAAAAAAAUUCGCUACCCUGAAUUUCCAUGUGGAUCUCUUAUUUAUCACCAAGAUCUCUGAGGAC
rnacentral:snoRNA from 1 species